rnacentral:misc_RNA from 1 species
AAGUCGUAACAAGGUUUCCGUAGGUGAACCUGCGGAAGGAUCAUUACCGAUUUUAGCGAACCUGACCUUUGGUUAUGGUAUCGCGAAAACAUUGUAUUUAAAACCCCACUCUUAUAAAUUGAAUCAUUUUAUUAUAUGUAUAAUAAAUAAAGAUCACUUUCAACAACGGAUCUCUUGGUUCUG